AUGGUGAGAGCACUUCCCUCAGCCUUCCCCUGGGACUCAGCAGCCAGGGCCUUUCCCUGCACAUCUGGACAGGCCAUGCCCAGCACAGAAGGAAGGGAUCCAUGGCAGCCUCGCUGUCCCAAUGCUGCUCUCACGGCCUGCAGGACUGUUUCCCAGCCUGGGCUGGUGGCAGCUUCUGCCCAGCCUCUGCAGGAAGGCAUUUGGCACCAGCUGACAGGGAGCCCCAACUGCAGCAUGGGCCAUGCACACGCUGAGGUCCCCUGCAGUUUCCCUGUCUCUGAGCAGAUCAGGAGGCACAGCUGUUUUCAAGGGAGUGCUACCCACAAAGGCGUGCUCUGGCCCAGUCCCAAGAGCUUGAGCCUUUUCUUGAUCCAUAUCAAUGUCUUUGACAAGCAUUGCCACAUGAAGAUGCCCCUUCCAUUAUGGGAAGCAGCCCCAGCUGAUCCAGCUUUGCCUCUUCCUUUCUGCAGAAGUGGAUGGAGAAGCUGUGCUGAGGGCUGAACUUUCCGGAGGAGGCUGUGAUUCUGUGCCAGCCUCUGCUGCAGGAAAGGAGGCGAUGCCAGGCACAGUCACAGGAGGUAAUUGCUGAGCCUCUCGGCCUGAGCCCUGCUGAGACUUGAGCUGCUCUCUCUGCUGCUUGGCAGUGCGGGCACAGCCCGGACAAGGCGGGCACAGCCCAGAGGAAUUGUUAUGCUCAGGGCACUUGGGUACUGAGCAGUCCUGCUGGGGUCCCUGCCUAGGAGGCACAUCCCAAAACCUGGGAGUGAUUGCACAGGGUGCCCAUGGUGGGGAUAGGGCAGAGGGGGAGAGCAAGGCUGCAGUGUGUCCUGAGAGAGCCUGGCUAUGUGCCGUUGGGCUGGGGGAUUUGUCCCAGCAGUAGGAGGGCAGCAGGGACAGAGGGAGGCAGGGAUAUCUGUGGCACUGCCUUCUGCAGUUUUCUCCUGGGCUUUAGAGAGGGUUUCCUCUGUGGGAGGAAGAGAGGCCCCAGGCUGCUCCAACUCCCCUCCACAGAUCUUGGUAGGGCCUGCAAAAUGGAUGGACUGUGACCAGGAGCAAGCCCAGGCCCCUGUGCACCUUUGGCCAUGUCCAUUUACAUUGGGAUCCCACGGUCUAACCCAACCCCCCUGCAGUGCUCAGUUCCUAAAGGCAGAAGGGGACCACAGCACACCAUGGAAAUGAUUCUGAUCUGUGCUCCCUUCUAGACUGGGAUGACAAUAUGGAUUAUUUGGAAGCCCUACUGGAAAAUGAGAUUAAGUUUGUGGAGGAUUUUGGAGGCACGUUUUCAGUCUACCUUUUCUGAGAGAAUAAUCAAUGUGACACGAGCUCCCCCAUCUUCCACUUCCCUCAACAUCACCUCAGGGUUGAAGGAAUCUGGGAGCCUCGCCCUGCUCCCUUUCUGGAGCCCUGAGUGAUCCCACAGGAUCACUGUCAGUGGGAGGAAGGAGCAUUUAGCUGUCCAUCUUCCUCCCAUGUGCAAUGCCGGAGUGUCCUUGUGUGUGCU
rnacentral:lncRNA from 1 species